GAUGAACGCUGGCGGCGUGCCUAACACAUGCAAGUCGAACGGUUAAGCCGGCUUCGGCCGGGAAUACAGUGGCGAACGGGUGAGUAACACGUGACCAACCUGCCCCCCGCUCCGGGACAACCGCUGGAAACGGCGGCUAAUACCGGGUACUCCGCGGGCCCCGCAUGGGGCCGGCGGGAAAGCCCAGGCGGCGGGGGAUGGGGUCGCGGCCCAUUAGGUAGUAGGCGGGGUAGAGGCCCACCUAGCCGACGAUGGGUAGCCGGACUGAGAGGUCGACCGGCCACAUUGGGACUGAGAUACGGCCCAG
rnacentral:rRNA from 1 species